rnacentral:rRNA from 1 species
CACUAGCAAACUAGCCCAAACACCCCAAACACAACGAGACCUUAUAAAUAAACCCCAACACACUCAACCAACCAAACAAAACAUUUUUUUCCUUAGUACGGGAGACGAAAAAGGACACCCGGAGCUAUAGAGAAAGUACCGCAAGGGAAAGCUGAAAGAGAAAUGAAAAGACAACAAAGUACAAAAAAGCAGAGACUAACCCUCGUACCUUUUGCAUCAUGAUUUAGCAAGUAUAACCAAGCGAAGAGCCCUUUAGUUUACUACCCCGAAACUAGGUGAGCUACUCCAAGACAGCCUACAAACCAGGGCAAACCCGUCUCUGUAGCAAAAGAGUGGGAAGAUCUUUGAGUAGAGGCGACAAACCUAUCGAACCCAGUUAUAGCUGGUUGCUUGGGAAUUGAAUUUAAGUUCAGCCUCUAAGCUUCUUAAGCCACCUCGUGCCUAUUAUUAUAGGAAAAAGAAACUAAGAGAGUUAAUUAAAGGUGGUACAGCCCCUUUAAAACAGACACAACUUUUACAGAAGGGUAAGGAUCACACUGAUCACAAAGGAGUAUGUACCCUGUGGGCUUUAAAGCAGCCACCUUUUUACAAAAGCGUAGUAGCUCAAACAACAACCUACCAAAACCCAUAAUUAAGAUAAUACACCCCACCCCCCUGCAACACUACCAAGCCACCCCAUAAAUAUGGGAGAGACCAUGCUAAUAUGAGUAAUAAGAGAAGUAAUCCCCCUCUCCCAGUACAAGUGUAAGUUGGCACACGACCAAAGCCAACUAUUAACGGCCCCAGACAAAAGAGGGCACUGAAAACAAAAUAAAGAACAAGAAGAACUUUCAAAAAACAACCGUUAACCCAACACAGGAGUACUAUAUUAAAGGAAAGACUAAAAGGACGGGAAGGAACUCGGCAAAUACUUAGCCUCGCCUGUUUACCAAAAACAUCGCCUCUUGCUUAUGAUAUAAGAGGUCCUGCCUGCCCAAUGACAUACAUGUUCAAUGGCCGCGGUAUAUUAACCGUGCGAAGGUAGCGCAAUCACUUGUCUUUUAAAUGAAGACCCGUAUGAAUGGCAAGACGAGGGCUUAACUGUCUCCCCCCCCCAGUCAAUGAAAUUGAUCUUUCCGUGCAGAAGCGGAAAUGAUAACAUAAGACGAGAAGACCCUGUGGAGCUUUAGACAGUUAACCGCCCAUAACAAACACCACCAAACAAAGCAAAGUGAACCAAUGGUGCCCGUCCCACUGUCUUCGGUUGGGGCGACCUUGGGGUAAUAUAUAACCCCCACAUGGAAUGAAGCAUUUACCCACCACACCUGUCAUCCAAAGUCAGAGCUAACAACUCUAACUAACAGAACUUCUGACCCACCUUGAUCCGGCAACGCCGAUCAAUGAACCAAGUUACCCCAGGGAUAACAGCGCAAUCCCCUUAUAGAGCCCAUAUCAACAAGGGGGUUUACGACCUCGAUGUUGGAUCAGGACACCCCAAUGGUGCAACCGCUAUUAAAGGUUCGUUUGUUCAACGAUUAAAGUCCUACGUGAUCUGAGUUCAGACCGGAGCAAUCCAGGUCAGUUUCUACCUAUGGUGUUAUCUUUUUUAGUACGAAAGGACCAAAGAGAAGAGGCCCAUUUCACAGAUACGCCUCACCCUCAAUUUGUGAAUUAAUCUAAACAUAUAACAGGGAGCGGUAUCUCAAGCGGAGAUAACGCUUA